rnacentral:rRNA from 1 species
UACGUAGGGUGCAAGCGUUGUCCGGAAUUAUUGGGCGUAAAGAGCGUGUAGGCGGCCUGACAGGUCUGCUGUGAAAACUCGAGGCUCAACCUCGAGAUGUCGGCGGAAACCGUCUGGCUAGAGUCCGGAAGAGGCGAGUGGAACUCCUGGUGUAGCGGUGGAAUGCGCAGAUAUCAGGAAGAACACCAACGGCGAAGGCAGCUCGCUAGGACGGUACUGACGCUGAGACGCGAAAGCGUGGGGAGCGAACAGG